UAGGAAGUGGUGUAACGGAAGCGCCAAGAGUUUUGAUCUCUUCAGUAUGGGUUCGAGUCCCUUCUUUCUAA
rnacentral:tRNA from 1 species